AGGCGUGACGCGCGCCGCGGGGGCGCGCGGGACCUGCACUUGGAAGCGGAACCGACUGGGGGACGCAGCCACGCACUUAGAAAGAGCGCGGGACGCUCGCCCUCUAGCGAGCCCUCUCUCCGUCCCGGCCUGAGGAGGAGGAGGGUUCGAUUCAAGGGAAGCGGCACGCGACUUCACCCGAUCGCGGGCUGCGGCGCACCACGGCGGCCCCGUUCCAUCCAUUUCAGCCGACCCUCGCUUCGCUUCGCGCGCUGGCGCGCGCGCGCCGCGGGGACGGCCACUUGCACUCGAUCGAGGAGCCCAACUCACUCCCGACGGAGCGGGAGCGGGAGCGCGGAUCGGUGGGGGGCGC
rnacentral:rRNA from 1 species